rnacentral:rRNA from 1 species
GAGCGCCCCGCAAGGGGAGCGGCAGACGGGAGAGUAACACGUGGGAACGUACCCUUCAGUUCGGAACAACCCAGGGAAACUUGGGCUAAUACCGGAUAAGUCCGUAAGGAGAAAGAUUUAUCGCCAAAGGAUCGGCCCGCGUCUGAUUAGCUAGUUGGUGAGGUAACGGCUCACCAAGGCGACGAUCAGUAGCUGGUCUGAGAGGAUGAUCAGCCUCACUGGGACUGAGACACGGCCCAGACUCCUACGGGAGGCAGCAGUGGGGAAUAUUGGACAAUGGGCGCAAGCCUGAUCCAGCCAUGCCACGUGGAUGAUGAAGGCCCUAGGGUUGUAAAGUCCUUUCGGCGGGGAAGAUAAUGACGGUACCCGCAGAAGAAGCCCCGGCUAACUUCGUGCCAGCAGCCGCGGUAAUACGAAGGGGGCUAGCGUUGCUCGGAAUCACUGGGCGUAAAGCGCACGUAGGCGGCUUUCUAAGUCAGAGGUGAAAUCCUGGAGCUCAACUCCAGAACUGCCUUUGAUACUGGAGAGCUUGAGUCCGGAAGAGGUGAGUGGAACUGCCAGUGUAGAGGUGAAAUUCGUAGAUAUUCGCAAGAACACCAGUGGCGAAGGCGGCUCACUGGCCCGGUACUGACGCUGAGGUGCGAAAGCGUGGGGA